rnacentral:ncRNA from 1 species
AUAAAUAAAUUUUAUAUGGUUUAAAAAAUUUAUUUUAAAUUUAUUUUACAUAUAAAUUUUAGUGUAUAUUUAUUUAUUUAUUUUAAAAAUAUUUAUUUUAAGUAGUAAUUAAUAUUAAAAAUUUAAGAAAUUAAGAUUUAGUAAUAUAAAAAUUUAUAACAAAUUUUGUGCCAGCAGUUGCGGUUAAACAAAAGUUAAAUUAAAUUUUAUUAGUUAUUUAAUAAUUAAUUAUAUUAUUAUAGUAUAAUAUUUAAUAAUAAUUUAAAAUUAAAAUUAUUAAGUGAAAUUUUAAUUUUAUUUAAUUUAUUUAUUUUAUUUAUGAUUUAAUAAAUUUUAAUAAUAAACUAGGAUUAGAUACCCUAUUAUUUAAAAUUUAAAUUUAAAAAUACUGAAAUAGUAGGUAAUUAUUUAUUGAAACUUAAAUAUUUUGGCGGUAUUUUAGUUUAUUUAGAGGAAUCUGUUUAUUAAUUGAUAAUCCACGAUUAAAUUUACUUAAUUUAAUAUUUUGUAUAUCGUUGUUAAAAAAAUAUUUUUUAAUAAUUAAUAAUAUUUUAAAGUUAUAAAAAAAAAUUAAAUCAAAUCAAGAUGCAGAUUAUAAUUAAGAAUAUAAUGGAUUACAAUAAAUUUAUUUAAAUGAAUUUUAAUUUGUAAAAAUUAAAUAAAAGUGGAUUUAAAUGUAAUUUUAUUUAAUAUAAUAAAAUGAUUAAAAAUUAAAAUAUGUACAUAUUGCCCGUCGCUUUCAUUAAUAAAUUGAAAUAAGUCGUAACAAAGUAGAGGUACUGGAAAGUGUUUCUAGAAAGAAA